rnacentral:lncRNA from 1 species
UCCCGGCCUCCAUUUGAUGAAAUUUUUAUAUCACCGUGAUCACCAUUCUUUUCUCUACAGGUUGACCAGAGCCGAAUCACCAAAACACGAACCUCGCCGGAGAGCCACUGCACCCGAGAGCGCCGCCGCUGGUAAGCUCCGUUUUUCCGUGAUUUUUUGGCCCCCCGAGGGCCCUAGGGUUGUUUUCUCACAGGGACCGAUGCGAGUGUGGCCGAAAAUAGCCAACCCGAG